rnacentral:lncRNA from 1 species
UCCCCCUACACCUAGACAAGCUAAUUCCCCAAGUGAUAUGGCUCCCCGCCCUCUACAGGUUCCAAGCCUCCAUCCAGUGCAGUUCCCAUCGUAAAACUCAAUCCACCAUUCCUGCUUGGAACGAGGCUUCUGGUGGGGAGAGAUUUCCCACGUCACAGCAAGUGUGCUCAGUGAUAAGCAAAUUCUGCCAGUUUCUUCGACGAGCAGCCCCGUAAAGCAGAAGUUAAUUUCUGAUAACCAGAUAUAGCUGUGGCAUGCAUGAAGCAGCGCACUUCUAAUUUUUAGGACUACAAUUAAAUUGCAAAUAUUCUAA